CCAGCAUAGAAGUGGGUAUUAGCCUCAUCGUGGCUGCCUAAAUGGCUGUUAGAGUCUCAAAAAUCUUUGUGUGAUUCUUAUACGUGAAGCAUCACACACUUUCUUCAUUGCGAAAAUAUUCUCAGCUGGAGUCACAUUAAAGAUAUGACA